rnacentral:rRNA from 1 species
CCUACGGGAGGCAGCAGUGGGGGAUAUUGCACAAUGGGGGAAACCCUGAUGCAGCGACGCCGCGUGGGCGAAGAAGUAUUUCGGUAUGUAAAGCCCUAUCAGCAGGGAAGAAGAAAUGACGGUACCUGAGUAAGAAGCACCGGCUAAAUACGUGCCAGCAGCCGCGGUAAUACGUAUGGUGCAAGCGUUAUCCGGAUUUACUGGGUGUAAAGGGAGCGCAGGCGGCACGGCAAGCCUGAUGUGAAAGCCCGCGGCCCAACCGCGGGACUGCAUUGGGAACUACCGGGCUGGAGUGCCGGAGAGGUAGGCGGAAUUCCUAGUGUAGCGGUGAAAUGCGUAGAUAUUAGGAGGAACACCAGUGGCGAAGGCAUCUCACGAAUCCGCGAUUGACGCUGAUGCACGAAAGCGUGGGUAUCAAACAGGAUUAGAUACCCUUGUAGUC